CCUACGGGAGGCAGCAGUGGGGAAUAUUGGACAAUGGGCGCAAGCCUGAUCCAGCCAUGCCGCGUGGGUGAAGAAGGCCUUCGGGUUGUAAAGCCCUUUUGUCCGGAAAGAAAAGCUCUAGGAUAACACCCUGGGGUUCUGACGGUACCGGAAGAAUAAGCACCGGCUAACUUCGUGCCAGCAGCCGCGGUAAU
rnacentral:rRNA from 1 species